rnacentral:lncRNA from 1 species
GUAGUUAAAUGAUGAAUGACCUAUCCGUGAUAUUACGUGAAUGAGAUCAAAACACAUGAAAAUAUUAUAUGGUGAUUACAUGAUUAGUAAACAAAUCUUUUGAGCCUCCAAAAAUUAACAUACAGUCUAUCAUACAUAAUAUGAUCCACAAACCGAGUGAGCGGACAUGGAAAACCCAUUAGUAAGCGGUCAAAGCAUUACAAGUGGUAUAAGAACCGAAACAAAAUGAGUAAAGGGUCUUAUAUGGGCUUACACUAACAUGGUUUACGUUCCUGAGACACAACGAAGAUGUUGCGUUAUGUAAGAAUGGUAAUUGUAACAUCUCAGCUUGUGCUAUAUGUGAAAUGGUUUAAUUGAAUUUAUUUGGCUAUCUAUGUCACGAGAGUCCAUUAAUCUUUCAGCCAUUUAUCCAGAGAAAAAUUUAAACUAAAUGUGUUUGAGAUUGAGUAAUCAAAUGAUCACUACAAGAAAACAUGAGAUUAACAACGGCGGUAUUCCUCGUGAGUUCGUCGUAAAAGAGGCUUUAUGA